rnacentral:rRNA from 1 species
GACAGAGGGUGCAAGCGUUGUUCGGAAUUACUGGGCGUAAAGGGCGCGUAGGCGGCCAUUUAAGUCAGAUGUGAAAUCCCCAGGCUCAACCUGGGAACUGCGUCUGAUACUGGACGGCUUGAGUUUGGGAGAGGGAUGUAGAAUUCCAGGUGUAGCGGUGAAAUGCGUAGAUAUCAGGAGGAACACCGAUGGCGAAGUCAGGUCUCUGGGCAUUAACUGACGCUGAGGAGCGAAAGCGUGGGGAGCAAACAGG